rnacentral:tRNA from 1 species
CCCUAGUGGCUCAGAUGGUAAAGAACCUGCCUGCAAUGCAGGAGACCUAGGUUCAAUCCCUGGAGUAGGGA